CUGCGAUGUACUCGUCUUAAAGAUUAAGCCAUGCAUGCCUAAGUACAAACUUGGUAGAGUGAAACUGCGGAUAGCUCAUUACAACGCCUACAUUUUUCUUGAUUGUCAAUCUACAGGAUAACCGUAGAAAAUCUAGAGCUAAGACUUGCAUUGAUAUCCAGCCUUUACUGGCUGGAUGCAUUUUUCUGAUAUCCGAUCGCAUGUUGCCGUAAGGCUUCAAGCGAAAGGUGAUUCUAGAUGACUUUGCUGAUCGUAUGGCUUUAUGCCGACGACAGAUCAAAUAAAAUCGCGCCCUAUCAAUUUGUAGUUAGGAUAUUUUCCUAACUAGAUUACGACGGGUCACGGGGAAUCAGGGUUCGAUUCCGGAGAGGCAGCUUGAGAUAUCGCUACCACAUCUAAGGAAGGCAGCAGGCGCGCAAAUUACCCACUCCCGAACUGGGGAGGUAGUGACGAGAAAUAUCAGUCUAACUCUUUGAGCAAUAGAUUGGAAUGGANGAAAUUCAGGUCCAUUCGUGAAUACUAGCGAGGGGCAAGUCUGGUGCCAGCAGCCGCGGUAAUUCCAGCCUCGCACGUACAUGUAAAAUUUGUUGCAUUUAAAAAGCUCGUAGUCGGACUGUUUCACNGANGUUUUGUUCAAAGCCAGCUGCAACUCGGCUAACCAGUUUCNAAGGGUUUUGAACUGGUCAAUUAGUCGUUGCAACUGGAUGAAUAGUCGUGAACAAGUACAAAUUUCGCUCNUACACUUAAUUGUGUGGGGGAUUGAACAUUUGUANANGUACCUUGAACAAAUCNGUUUGUUCAAAACANGCCAUAUCGAGCGNCUGGACAUUCGANCAUGGAAUGAUCGAUCGAGACNUGAUCGUUUGGUCNGAAACNAAUAANGUCCANNNUCAAAAGGGACAUUUGGGGGCAUACGAACUCGGCANCNGGAGGUGAAAUUCUAAGACCUGCNNAGGUCNAACUAAAGCGAAAGNAUUUGCCAAGAAUGUUUUCAUUGAUCAAGAACNAAANUUGGAGGAUCAAAAACGAUCAGAUACCGUUGUANUUCCAACUUUAAACUAUGCCGACUGUUGGGGCCANUUCNGUAUAUCCNUACUUAUUGACCUCCCANGGAAACCAUANUANGGNUCUNGGGGGGAGNACAGUCNCAANUCUNAAACUUAAANGAAUNNNCNNAAAGGGNCNCCNNNANNNNUGGAUCCUNNNNCUUAAUUUGNCUCAACACGGGGAAACUNACCNNNUCCNGACACCNNUAGGAUUNACANACUAAUCGUCUUUCAUNAUNCGGUGAUGAGUGGUGCAUGNCCGUUCAUAGUUGGUGGAGCGAUUUGUCUGGUUAAUUCCGUUAACGAACGAGACUAAAACCUUCAGUUAGUUUGCCAAUCAUGUUCAGACUCUUCACGGAAGUCCUGAGCUAGACUUGAACAAACUAUUUGAAUGGGAUUAACGACGUAAUCGAAAGGCGUUUGAAAUUUUUCAAUAACAGGUCUGUGAUGCCCUUAGAUGUCCGGGGCCGCACGCGGGAUACACUGGUGGUUGCAAAGAGUACUUAGGGAGAAAUCCUCAAGUAACCUCACGAACAACCAUCGUAACGGGGACUGAACCUUGCAAUUAUGGUUCACAAACGAGGAAUUUCUAGUAAGCGCUAGUCACCAUCUAGCGCUGAAUAUGUCCCUGCCCUUUGUACACACCGCCCGUCGCUACUACCGAUUGAAUGACUUAGCGAGAACUUGGUGGUAGCAUUUAGACUCUCAAAAGGAGCCUAUCUGCUGCAAACUUGUUUGAGCUUGGUCG
rnacentral:rRNA from 1 species